rnacentral:pre_miRNA from 1 species
GAUUUCAAAUGAAAAAGUCACCGACAACAAAAUUGUAUAACUCAUCAAGAUCUAUAACUUUUAUUUUGAUCAUUUUCUUCAUCCGACAAAGUGAUAAUAAUAUUGUUCACAAAAUCUACAUAUCUCUCAUAUGAUUUUAUAUACUAUAAGAGAGAUAUGUAAAUUUUAUGAACAAUGUUAUUAUCACUUUGUCGGAUGAAGAAAUGACCAAAAUAAAAGUUGUUUGUCUUAAUGCAUGAGUUCUACAUCUUUUAUGUUGAUCACUUUUUCAGCUGAAAUU